rnacentral:misc_RNA from 1 species
UCCACCGUGGGCUUUGAAAAACGCUUUCCUUGAUAAAAUUUAAGCGUUUUAUAAGAGGAUGCCGGGGAAGGUUUUCCGGUUUAUCCCGGAGGGCUUGUAGCUCAGUUGGUUAGAGCGCGCGCUUGAUAAGCGUGAGGUCGGAGGUUCAAGUCCUCCCAGGCCCACCAGUUUAUCCAUUACUUUCAUAAGUGCUUUUAAAAAAUAAGUACUUCUAAAAAGAUUGCUUCUAAAAAGAUUGCUUCUAAAAAGAUUGCUUCUAAAAAGCUUAUCAAAAUUGGCAGGCUUAUUGCUUUUGUGUGAGUAAUCCAAAGUUAAAGCAAAUUAAUGGCAAAAAAACAGUUCAAAUGCUAAAUACUAAGGAGUCAAAAUUCCUUGCAAAGUGAUUUUUACAGCGUCACAUUUGGUUGAUAUAAAUUCCAAAUGCUCAUAGACGUCAAUGCCUAUAUGAAACUAUCGGUUCAAUCAUAUCGCUUUGAGUUAUAUAGAUUUUGUAAUCCCUCUUUUGAUCGUUUUAAACGCUUUAUCCUGAUUUAGGGGCCGUAGCUCAGCUGGGAGAGCACCUGCUUUGCAAGCAGGGGGUCGUCGGUU